CAGAGGGUGGCAAGCGUUGUUCGGAAUCAUUGGGCGUAAAGCGCACGUAGGCGGCUUUGCAAGUCGGGUGUGAAAGCCUGGGGCUCAACCCCAGAAGUGCAUUCGAACUGCAGAGCUUGAGUCUUGGAGAGGGUGGUGGAAUUCCGAGUGUAGAGGUGAAAUUCGUAGAUAUUCGGAGGAACACCAGUGGCGAAGGCGACCACCUGGACAAAGACUGACGCUGAGGUGCGAAAGCGUGGGGAGCAAACAGGGAUUAGAUACCCUGGUAGUCCACGCCGUAAACGAUGAGUACUAGAUGUUGCAGGUAUUGACCCCUGCAGUGUCGUCGCUAACGCAUUAAGUACUCCGCCUGGGAAGUACGGCCGCAAGGCU
rnacentral:rRNA from 1 species